CCAUCUAAAUCCCAUUUGCUUCAGAGCUAACCGUAAACAUUCUCGAGAACCCGCAUAAUUGAGAUCUGUUUUGACCAUCUCAUGGAUAUUUAAGGUCACAUGCAACGUAAAACACAACUUUGCAGAUUCUGAU